AGUGAACGCUGGCGGUAGGCCUAACACAUGCAAGUCGAACGGCAGCACAGUAAGAGCUUGCUCUUACGGGUGGCGAGUGGCGGACGGGUGAGGAAUACAUCGGAAUCUACUUUUUCGUGGGGGAUAACGUAGGGAAACUUACGCUAAUACCGCAUACGACCUACGGGUGAAAGCAAGGGAUCUUCGGACCUUGCGCGAUUGAAUGAGCCGAUGUCGGAUUAGCUAGUUGGCGGGGUAAAGGCCCACCAAGGCGACGAUCCGUAGCUGGUCUGAGAGGAUGAUCAGACCCACUGGAACUGAGACACGGUCCAGACUCCUACGGGAGGCAGCAGGGGGUAAGAUUGGACAAUGGGCGCAAGCCUGAUCCAGCCAUACCGCGUGGGUGAAGAAGGCCGUCGGGUUGUAAAGCCAUUUUGUUGGGAAAGAAAAGCAGCAGGUUAAUACCCCGCUGUUCUGACGGUACCCAAAGAAUAAGCACCGGCUAACUUCGU
rnacentral:rRNA from 1 species